ACAAACCAAAAAAAUCUCUUAUAUUGAGUAAAGACCAUAUAGACGAAUUUUUGAGAAAAGCUGACACCAAGGAACAUUUAUUUAAUAAGGUUGUUCUCAUAUUUGGAGUAGCCGGUGCAUGUAGACGUCAAGAGCUAGUGACAUUAACGACAACAUGUGUUCAAGACUGCAAAACCCAUUUUUUAAUUAAGCUGGAAGACACCAAAACCAAAGUGGAUCGAUGUUUUAUAAUAACAGCAGGUAAACUCGAAAAUGUUAAUCUACUUGAACUUGUCAGAAGAUAUAUGGAAAUUCGACCCACCAAGACACCGCACAACAGAUUUUUUAUCAACUACACCAAGGAAAAAUGUACCAUUCAACCAGUUGGAAUCCACAAAAUUGGGGGUCACUGCUUCAGACGUAGCUCAGCUUCUCUUCUGGCAAAUGCAGGGGCCACUAUGGAAAGGACAAAAAGACACGGAGGUUGGCGUUCAACUACAGUGGCAGAAGGUUAUAUCGAAGAAUGUGAAAAUACUAAAAUUAAGGUUGCAAACUUGAUCUUGGGUGAAGAACCAUUGGCCUGCAAUAGCAUCUCUUCGGAAAAUCACGAAAAAUUUACAAGUUUGCGUGGAACCGAGAGUGAAGCAAAAAACAACGAAGUUGUAGGAAUGAAUAUUUGUGGCAACAAUAAUAGUGUUAUAAAUGUAAAUCAUUAUUACAACAAGCAAUAGUAUGUUUAUAUGGUUACAAUGUUACAAAGUUGAUA